AUUGAACGCUGGCGGCAUGCUUUACACAUGCAAGUCGAACGGCAGCGCGGGCUUCGGCCUGGCGGCGAGUGGCGAACGGGUGAGUAAUGCAUCGGAACGUGACCAGUAGAGGGGGAUAGCACGGCGAAAGCCGGCUUAAUACCGCAUACGACCUGAGGGUGAAAGCGGGGGACCGAAAGGCCACGCGCGAUUGGAGCGGCCGAUGUCGGAUUAGCUAGUUGGUGGGGUAACGGCUUACCAAGGCGACGAUCCGUAGCUGAUCUGAGAGGACGACCAGCCACACUGGGACUGAGACACGGCCCAGACUCCUACGGGAGGCAGCAGUGGGGAAUUUUCGGCAAUGGGGGCAACCCUGACGCAGCCACGCCGCGUGCGGGAUGAAGGUCUUCGGGUUGUAAACCGCUUUUGUUCGGGAAGAACUCCUCUGGGCUAAUACCCCGGGGGGAUGACGGUACCGGAAGAAUAAGCACCGGCUAACUACGUG
rnacentral:rRNA from 1 species